CUUGAGCUCACAGAUCAGUCUUUAUUAUUCUGUGUGAGAUGCGAUGGUCCAUCCCCAGUCAAUGAUCUUCAAUGAUCCUGCCCUUCUCCAGGGCAUCUAUUUAAACCCUAGGUUUUGAUUCUUGAUGGUAUGGGCCUCUUUUGCCAGUUGGCCAAGGGGGAGCGUGAAGGCUCGAGCUGAGAUUUAAAAUCAUCUCAACUGCCUAUCUUCCUCCUGGAUGUUUACACCGCCUAUCUUCCUCCUGGAUGCUUACUCUGACGCCAUGAGUAUCGUCAGCCUGUGAAUGUCGCCGAAGCGGUUGUUGAAAAGCUUGAACUCAGCCCUUCGGGCUCUGUACGCAUAUACUCCAUGUUUGUACUUUCCCAGAGACCAACUGUCUGCUUGAGGAGGACUCAGAAUUUCCUGUAGAUAUGCAACCUGAUCCAAACUUGACUGCAUGUACAGAGAGCCUUCCGACUGCAAAAUUUGACUACAGGCUAAACAACAUUUUCAGACUUCAUGAACUCCCAGUGAGCUG
rnacentral:lncRNA from 1 species